rnacentral:rRNA from 1 species
GACGUAGGAUGCAAGCGUUGUUCGGAAUUACUGGGCGUAAAGCGCGUGUAGGCGGCACUACAAGUCGGAUGUGAAAUCCCGCGGCUUAACCGUGGAAGUGCACCCGAAACUGUAGAGCUAGAGUCCCGGAGAGGAUGGUGGAAUACUUGGUGUAGAGGUGAAAUUCGUAGAUAUCAAGUGGAACACCGGUGGCGAAGGCGGCUCACUGGCCCGGUACUGACGCUGAGGUGCGAAAGCGUGGGGAGCGAACAGG